GGUCGCAUGGCUCAGUUGGUAGAGCGUCGCGUUCACAUCGCGAAGGUCAUAGGUUCAAAUCCUAUUGCGACCACCA
rnacentral:tRNA from 1 species